UACGGAGGGUGCAAGCGUUAUCCGGAUUCACUGGGUUUAAAGGGUGCGUAGGUGGUGAGGUAAGUCGGAUGUGAAAUCUCCAAGCUCAACUUGGAAACUGCAUUGGAAACUACCUUGCUAGAGGAUUUGAGGGGGGAUUGGAAUACUUGGUGUAGCAGUGAAAUGCGUAGAUAUCAAGUGGAACACCAGUGGCGAAGGCGAAUCCCUGGAAAAUACCUGACACUGAGGCACGAAAGCUAGGGGAGCAAACAGG
rnacentral:rRNA from 1 species